GGUUAAGCGACUAAGCGUACACGGUGGAUGCCCUGGCAGUCAGAGGCGAUGAAGGACGUGCUAAUCUGCGAUAAGCGUCGGUAAGGUGAUAUGAACCGUUAUAACCGGCGAUUUCCGAAUGGGGAAACCCAGUGUGUUUCGACACACUAUCAUUAACUGAAUCCAUAGGUUAAUGAGGCGAACCGGGGGAACUGAAACAUCUAAGUACCCCGAGGAAAAGAAAUCAACCGAGAUUCCCCCAGUAGCGGCGAGCGAACGGGGAGGAGCCCAGAGCCUGAAUCAGUGUGUGUGUUAGUGGAAGCGUCUGGAAAGGCGCGCGAUACAGGGUGACAGCCCCGUACACAAAAAUGCACAUACUGUGAGCUCGAUGAGUAGGGCGGGACACGUGGUAUCCUGUCUGAAUAUGGGGGGACCAUCCUCCAAGGCUAAAUACUCCUGACUGACCGAUAGUGAACCAGUACCGUGAGGGAAAGGCGAAAAGAACCCCGGCGAGGGGAGUGAAAAAGAACCUGAAACCGUGUACGUACAAGCAGUGGGAGCCUCUUUAUGGGGUGACUGCGUACCUUUUGUAUAAUGGGUCAGCGACUUAUAUUCUGUAGCAAGGUUAACCGAAUAGGGGAGCCGAAGGGAAACCGAGUCUUAACUGGGCGUUAAGUUGCAGGGUAUAGACCCGAAACCCGGUGAUCUAGCCAUGGGCAGGUUGAAGGUUGGGUAACACUAACUGGAGGACCGAACCGACUAAUGUUGAAAAAUUAGCGGAUGACUUGUGGCUGGGGGUGAAAGGCCAAUCAAACCGGGAGAUAGCUGGUUCUCCCCGAAAGCUAUUUAGGUAGCGCCUCGUGAAUUCAUCUCCGGGGGUAGAGCACUGUUUCGGCAAGGGGGUCAUCCCGACUUACCAACCCGAUGCAAACUGCGAAUACCGGAGAAUGUUAUCACGGGAGACACACGGCGGGUGCUAACGUCCGUCGUGAAGAGGGAAACAACCCAGACCGCCAGCUAAGGUCCCAAAGUCAUGGUUAAGUGGGAAACGAUGUGGGAAGGCCCAGACAGCCAGGAUGUUGGCUUAGAAGCAGCCAUCAUUUAAAGAAAGCGUAAUAGCUCACUGGUCGAGUCGGCCUGCGCGGAAGAUGUAACGGGGCUAAACCAUGCACCGAAGCUGCGGCAGCGACGCUUAUGCGUUGUUGGGUAGGGGAGCGUUCUGUAAGCCUGUGAAGGUGUACUGUGAGGUAUGCUGGAGGUAUCAGAAGUGCGAAUGCUGACAUAAGUAACGAUAAAGCGGGUGAAAAGCCCGCUCGCCGGAAGACCAAGGGUUCCUGUCCAACGUUAAUCGGGGCAGGGUGAGUCGACCCCUAAGGCGAGGCCGAAAGGCGUAGUCGAUGGGAAACAGGUUAAUAUUCCUGUACUUGGUGUUACUGCGAAGGGGGGACGGAGAAGGCUAUGUUGGCCGGGCGACGGUUGUCCCGGUUUAAGCGUGUAGGCUGGUUUUCCAGGCAAAUCCGGAAAAUCAAGGCUGAGGCGUGAUGACGAGGCACUACGGUGCUGAAGCAACAAAUGCCCUGCUUCCAGGAAAAGCCUCUAAGCAUCAGGUAACAUCAAAUCGUACCCCAAACCGACACAGGUGGUCAGGUAGAGAAUACCAAGGCGCUUGAGAGAACUCGGGUGAAGGAACUAGGCAAAAUGGUGCCGUAACUUCGGGAGAAGGCACGCUGAUAUGUAGGUGAAGCGACUUGCUCGUGGAGCUGAAAUCAGUCGAAGAUACCAGCUGGCUGCAACUGUUUAUUAAAAACACAGCACUGUGCAAACACGAAAGUGGACGUAUACGGUGUGACGCCUGCCCGGUGCCGGAAGGUUAAUUGAUGGGGUUAGCGGUAACGCGAAGCUCUUGAUCGAAGCCCCGGUAAACGGCGGCCGUAACUAUAACGGUCCUAAGGUAGCGAAAUUCCUUGUCGGGUAAGUUCCGACCUGCACGAAUGGCGUAAUGAUGGCCAGGCUGUCUCCACCCGAGACUCAGUGAAAUUGAACUCGCUGUGAAGAUGCAGUGUACCCGCGGCAAGACGGAAAGACCCCGUGAACCUUUACUAUAGCUUGACACUGAACAUUGAGCCUUGAUGUGUAGGAUAGGUGGGAGGCUUUGAAGUGUGGACGCCAGUCUGCAUGGAGCCGACCUUGAAAUACCACCCUUUAAUGUUUGAUGUUCUAACGUUGGCCCCUGAUCGGGGUUGCGGACAGUGUCUGGUGGGUAGUUUGACUGGGGCGGUCUCCUCCUAAAGAGUAACGGAGGAGCACGAAGGUUGGCUAAUCCUGGUCGGACAUCAGGAGGUUAGUGCAAUGGCAUAAGCCAGCUUGACUGCGAGCGUGACGGCGCGAGCAGGUGCGAAAGCAGGUCAUAGUGAUCCGGUGGUUCUGAAUGGAAGGGCCAUCGCUCAACGGAUAAAAGGUACUCCGGGGAUAACAGGCUGAUACCGCCCAAGAGUUCAUAUCGACGGCGGUGUUUGGCACCUCGAUGUCGGCUCAUCACAUCCUGGGGCUGAAGUAGGUCCCAAGGGUAUGGCUGUUCGCCAUUUAAAGUGGUACGCGAGCUGGGUUUAGAACGUCGUGAGACAGUUCGGUCCCUAUCUGCCGUGGGCGCUGGAGAACUGAGGGGGGCUGCUCCUAGUACGAGAGGACCGGAGUGGACGCAUCACUGGUGUUCGGGUUGUCAUGCCAAUGGCACUGCCCGGUAGCUAAAUGCGGAAGAGAUAAGUGCUGAAAGCAUCUAAGCACGAAACUUGCCCCGAGAUGAGUUCUCCCUGAGACUUUAAGUCUCCUGAAGGAACGUUGAAGACGACGACGUUGAUAGGCCGGGUGUGUAAGCGCAGCGAUGCGUUGAGCUAACCGGUACUAAUGAACCGUGAGGCUUAACCUU
rnacentral:rRNA from 1 species